AACCCAUCCUGAAGCAGUCACCACGAUCUGUACCAUGCAUACGCCAUAAGAUCUGAGAUGCACCGGGGAGGAAGCCAGCUGGCAUCUUCCCCUCCCCUCUGCUUUCUCUCUGCCGCCAUUCUGGGGCUCAUGCUGGACUCACUGCUUUCUGGGCUCACCCUGGACCUGCACUGUUCCUGGUAACGAAUGCAGCCUGUUCCAACCAAGCUCCGGGAAUGCUGCCUUGAGACAUUACGGUGAAAGCACAGAUGGAUCCAAGCUGCAAAAUUUGGAUCUGAAUUUCCCCAGCAUUCAGGAGCAUGGCGGUCUUGUAGUUUUGAUAAAAGCCCAUCCCGCCAAUGUCUGUUGCUGUGCUACUGUGAAGGAUGCUACAGGCGGGAGCGACUGGGACUUCCUCUUCAGCCCCACUCAGGGGAGUGAUGCUGCAGCAAAUCAAGCCCAGGCUGCUGCUCCCAUGCCAGUCACUGCCCACGCAUGUCAGAGAGAGAGAGAUCAAGCCAGGCCUUCUGUCUUCAAAAGGAGACGGAGAAAGCGCAUUGAGAGCCCAGAUCCAGCAGGUGCUGAGCACUCAAUAUUUUGCAGGAUCAGGCCCUAGCUUCACAGCCAACGAUUAGAGGUUAGACAGAAGGGGUCAUAACUCAAGCGACCUCUUUGGACAAUCAUUUGGGCUUUAGGAAUUGACUCCUGGCCUUUGUGCUGUGCAGCAAGUCAUCUCCCCUUGUCUGUGCAUUCUAGCUCCUCCUCAGAUGGUACCUUCCUUGUUCAUAUUGCUGAGUUUAAGAUGAUGGAAUUGGCCACUUGCCCAGGCUGGGAAUGGGGGGAGGAGGGAAGCAGUUAGCAUAAUGGAAUGGCUUUCUGAAUAAAGUGAAAAUCCCAUGCAGAUAGCACAUGGCGUGUAUAAUGACUCAUGGUCCAUAUUUUCACCAGGGGAAAAAUUUAAAACCUGCGUUCAAACUUAAAAGAUGGAAAUUGUUAUAAAGACUUCCAUGGUGAUAGGUUACCAUCUGU